GAGAUUGUGGUUCUUCUGUAACGAUAUUGAUUGGUUUGUUCAGUUCGAUAUCGUAUGUAGAUUGAUUGGUUUGUUGUGUUGGAUUAAUUGUGAUAUGCUUGGUGGUAGUUUAUUAAUUUAGAUUUUGUUUCAGUCUGUUGAUAAAAACUUUUGUUUCUGUGUUUGCCGUUGUGAGAUGGAGAGGAUCAAAGACGUUUUUUGUUGCUUGGAAAGAGACACGGGGAAGGUUCAUCGAUCAAAGGACUUCAAUUUCAAAGCAAGGUUAGUGUACGUUUAUGGUUGAAUAGAGUUGCAUAGAGUUUAAUAGAGUAGAAUUGAGUUAGCGUCUGUGAUGAAUUAAAUCUUGGCAAUUAAUGAGAUGGUCAGUGUACGUUUAUGGUUGCGGUUGAUUAUGAAUUGCUUCUGUUUGUUGUGUGAUUAAUGGUUAGCUAGGAAACUAUGUUCUGUUAGGUGUGAUUUAAGAAUUGUGGUUGUGAAGCUGGUUUAAGUGUUUAAGUGUGUUAAAUGAAUUAGAUAUAUGUCUACUCAAAUUGGUUGUGGGUGUGAUCAAUGCCUCUUAUCUCAGCGUUCUCAAAUGUUCCUUUCUUUCUCUUUUCUUUAAAUUCCUUCGUUUCUUCUCUUACUUUUGAACCUCAUAAACUCGCCUCUCUUCUCUUCUUGCUUUGUAAUCAUAACUUCCAUCUCUAUUCUCAUCAACAUUCAGAUAUGGAUUCCAAUCCAUAUCUAUCUACCAAUUUUGUUGAUCUUCUUCAAAGUCAACAAGAAUCUUCCAUUGGUUUAGAAUCUUCAUCUAUUCCUCUCUUUGGGACGCAAGCUUCAGAAGGUUCAAACUUCGAAGAAGAAAGUCCUGCAGCGCGUACAACAAGAAAGAUGUGGACACCAACAGACGAUGUCGUUCUCAUAAGCUCGUGGCUAAACACGAGUAAAGACCCCGUGGUCGGGAAUGAGCAACGCUCUGACUCCUUCUGGAAACGCAUAGCAGCGUACUUCUCGGCGAGUCCCAAGCUGGCUGGGUGUGAGAAAAGAGGGUCCACGCAAUGCAAGCAGCGUUGGCACAAACUAAACGAUUUAGUGUGUAAGUUAUGUGGUGCUUACGAGGCUGCAGUCAGAGAGAAGAGUAGUGGGCAAAACGAGAAUGAUGUUCUCAAAGUUGCCCAUGAAAUUUUUUACAACUCGUAUAAGAAGAAGUUCACGCUUGAACACGCGUGGAAAGAGCUCCGCAAUGACCAGAAGUGGUGUGAGCUCUCCACGGUUAAAAAUGACGGAAGCUCCAAAAAAAGAAAAGGUGAAGAUGGUUUUGAUUCAGCAUGCUCUCAAGCUGAUGAUGUUGAAGGAACCAUCCGUCCCCUAGGUGUCAAGGCAGCAAAAGCGCGAGGUAAGACGCCGAUGGGUGAUGUGAAGGCGCUCUCUGCCUUGCAAACAAUGUGGAGCAUCAAGGAAAAGGAUUUGGCAAUGAAGGAAAAGGUCUCGACAAUGAACGAAAAGGUCUCCAAGAUGAAGCUACUUGAGAGUCUUGUUUCAAAACAAGUGCCUCUAGCUGAUUAUGUGGAAGCUUUGAAGAGGAAGCUCGUAAAUGAGUUGAUGUGAUUUUAGUUUAAGUGGUCUCGGUCUUAGUCUCAGUUUAAGCUUUAAGUGUCUGUCUCGGUCUUAGUUUGGGUUUAACCUCUAAGUGUUUUUCUUGGUUAAUGUUUCUCGGGUUGUUGGAUUUUCAUGUUGUUAAAAUGCUUUCAUGUUUCUCGGCUUAAUGAAUUUUCAUGUUUUCAUGUUAAUGCUUUCAUGAGUGUUCUUGGUAACGUUUUCUUGUGUUCUAACUUGAUACAUGUUCUAUGUCAUUGUCUCAGGUAAGGUCACGGGUGAAGAAGACAAUAAGCUAAUGGGACUAAUCAUUACCAUCAAAGCCACGUACCAUGUUGGUUUAAAACGAACAAAAUACGUGGCAUUGGUAGUAAUGAGUGUUCCCGCUACCGUAUUCAGUUGAAGAUUCACGGGUGUUUGGUCAGGUCACGGGUCUUUCAUGUCACGGAGUAGCUAGACUGAGAUGUACUCGGUUGUGUCAGGUCAUGGGUGUUGGCGUUUUGUAACGGGUGAUCACGGGUGUUGUAAAUUCGCGGGUCUUGUAUGUAUUAUGCAUGUGGGUUGAUCACGUGUGUUGUAAAUUCACACGUCUUGAAUGUAUUAUGCAUGUGUGUUGUACAUAGUUUUGUAUUAUAUGAUCACGGGUCUUGUAUUGAUCACUUCUUGUAUUAUAAAGCCACCAAACUCAU
rnacentral:lncRNA from 1 species